rnacentral:rRNA from 3 species
GGUUAAGUUAGAAAGGGCGCACGGUGGAUGCCUUGACACUAGGAGUCGAUGAAGGACGGGACUAACGCCGAUAUGCUUCGGGGAGCUGUAAGUAAGCUUUGAUCCGAAGAUUUCCGAAUGGGGAAACCCACCAUACGUAAUGGUAUGGUAUCCUUAUCUGAAUACAUAGGGUAAGGAAGACAGACCCAGGGAACUGAAACAUCUAAGUACCUGGAGGAAGAGAAAGCAAAUGCGAUUUCCUGAGUAGCGGCGAGCGAAACGGAACAUAGCCCAAACCAAGAGGCUUGCCUCUUGGGGUUGUAGGACAUUCUAUACGGAGUUACAAAGGAACGAGGUAGACGAAGCGACCUGGAAAGGUCCGUCGUAGAGGGUAACAACCCCGUAGUCGAAACUUCGUUCUCUCUUGAAUGUAUCCUGAGUACGGCGGAACACGUGAAAUUCCGUCGGAAUCUGGGAGGACCAUCUCCCAAGGCUAAAUACUCCCUAGUGAUCGAUAGUGAACCAGUACCGUGAGGGAAAGGUGAAAAGCACCCCGGAAGGGGAGUGAAAGAGAUCCUGAAACCGUGUGCCUACAAAUAGUCAGAGCCCGUUAACGGGUGAUGGCGUGCCUUUUGUAGAAUGAACCGGCGAGUUACGAUCCCGUGCGAGGUUAAGCUGAAGAGGCGGAGCCGCAGCGAAAGCGAGUCUGAAUAGGGCGUUUAGUACGUGGUCGUAGACCCGAAACCAGGUGAUCUACCCAUGUCCAGGGUGAAGUUCAGGUAACACUGAAUGGAGGCCCGAACCCACGCACGUUGAAAAGUGCGGGGAUGAGGUGUGGGUAGCGGAGAAAUUCCAAUCGAACCUGGAGAUAGCUGGUUCUCCCCGAAAUAGCUUUAGGGCUAGCCUUAAGUGUAAGAGUCUUGGAGGUAGAGCACUGAUUGGACUAGGGGUCCUCAUCGGAUUACCGAAUUCAGUCAAACUCCGAAUGCCAAUGACUUAUCCUUAGGAGUCAGACUGCGAGUGAUAAGAUCCGUAGUCAAAAGGGAAACAGCCCAGACCGCCAGCUAAGGUCCCAAAGUGUGUAUUAAGUGGAAAAGGAUGUGGAGUUGCUUAGACAACUAGGAUGUUGGCUUAGAAGCAGCCACCAUUUAAAGAGUGCGUAAUAGCUCACUAGUCGAGUGACUCUGCGCCGAAAAUGUACCGGGGCUAAAUACACCACCGAAGCUGCGGAUUGAUACCAAUGGUAUCAGUGGUAGGGGAGCGUUCUAAGGACAGUGAAGUCAGACCGUAAGGACUGGUGGAGUGCUUAGAAGUGAGAAUGCCGGUAUGAGUAGCGAAAGACGGGUGAGAAUCCCGUCCACCGAAUGCCUAAGGUUUCCUGAGGAAGGCUCGUCCGCUCAGGGUUAGUCAGGACCUAAGCCGAGGCCGACAGGCGUAGGCGAUGGACAACAGGUUGAUAUUCCUGUACCACCUCUUUAUCGUUUGAGCAAUGGAGGGACGCAGAAGGAUAGAAGAAGCGUGCGAUUGGUUGUGCACGUCCAAGCAGUUAGGCUGAUAAGUAGGCAAAUCCGCUUAUCGUGAAGGCUGAGCUGUGAUGGGGAAGCUCCUUAUGGAGCGAAGUCUUUGAUUCCCCGCUGCCAAGAAAAGCUUCUAGCGAGAUAAAAGGUGCCUGUACCGCAAACCGACACAGGUAGGCGAGGAGAGAAUCCUAAGGUGUGCGAGAGAACUCUGGUUAAGGAACUCGGCAAAAUGACCCCGUAACUUCGGGAGAAGGGGUGCUUUCUUAACGGAAAGCCGCAGUGAAUAGGCCCAAGCGACUGUUUAGCAAAAACACAGCUCUCUGCGAAGCCGUAAGGCGAAGUAUAGGGGGUGACACCUGCCCGGUGCUGGAAGGUUAAGGAGAGGGGUUAGCGUAAGCGAAGCUCUGAACUGAAGCCCCAGUAAACGGCGGCCGUAACUAUAACGGUCCUAAGGUAGCGAAAUUCCUUGUCGGGUAAGUUCCGACCCGCACGAAAGGUGUAACGAUUUGGGCACUGUCUCAACCAGAGACUCGGUGAAAUUAUAGUACCUGUGAAGAUGCAGGUUACCCGCGACAGGACGGAAAGACCCCGUGGAGCUUUACUGUAGCCUGAUAUUGAAUUUUGGUACAGUUUGUACAGGAUAGGCGGGAGCCAUUGAAACCGGAGCGCUAGCUUCGGUGGAGGCGCUGGUGGGAUACCGCCCUGACUGUAUUGAAAUUCUAACCUACGGGUCUUAUCGACCCGGGAGACAGUGUCAGGUGGGCAGUUUGACUGGGGCGGUCGCCUCCUAAAGUGUAACGGAGGCGCCCAAAGGUUCCCUCAGAAUGGUUGGAAAUCAUUCGUAGAGUGCAAAGGCAUAAGGGAGCUUGACUGCGAGACCUACAAGUCGAGCAGGGACGAAAGUCGGGCUUAGUGAUCCGGUGGUUCCGCAUGGAAGGGCCAUCGCUCAACGGAUAAAAGCUACCCCGGGGAUAACAGGCUUAUCUCCCCCAAGAGUCCACAUCGACGGGGAGGUUUGGCACCUCGAUGUCGGCUCAUCGCAUCCUGGGGCUGUAGUCGGUCCCAAGGGUUGGGCUGUUCGCCCAUUAAAGCGGUACGCGAGCUGGGUUCAGAACGUCGUGAGACAGUUCGGUCCCUAUCCGUCGUGGGCGUAGGAAAUUUGAGAGGAGCUGUCCUUAGUACGAGAGGACCGGGAUGGACGCACCGCUGGUGUACCAGUUGUUCUGCCAAGGGCAUAGCUGGGUAGCUAUGUGCGGAAGGGAUAAGUGCUGAAAGCAUCUAAGCAUGAAGCCCCCCUCAAGAUGAGAUUUCCCAUAGCGUAAGCUAGUAAGAUCCCUGAAAGAUGAUCAGGUUGAUAGGUUCGAGGUGGAAGCAUGGUGACAUGUGGAGCUGACGAAUACUAAUAGAUCGAGGACUUAACCAU